UACGUAGGGUGCGAGCGUUGUCCGGAAUUAUUGGGCGUAAAGGGCUCGUAGGCGGUUUGUCGCGUCGGGAGUGAAAACUCAGGGCUUAACCCUGAGCCUGCUUCCGAUACGGGCAGACUAGAGGUAUGCAGGGGAGAACGGAAUUCCUGGUGUAGCGGUGAAAAUGCGCAGAUAUCAGGAGGAACACCGGUGGCGAAGGCGGUUCUCUGGGCAUUACCUGACGCUGAGGAGCGAAAGUGUGGGGAGCGAACAGG
rnacentral:rRNA from 1 species